rnacentral:rRNA from 1 species
GAUGAACGCUAGCUACAGGCUUAACACAUGCAAGUCGAGGGGCAGCAUUUCAGUUUGCUUGCAAACUGGAGAUGGCGACCGGCGCACGGGUGAGUAACACGUAUCCAACCUGCCGAUAACUCGGGGAUAGCCUUUCGAAAGAAAGAUUAAUACCCGAUGGUAUAAUCAGACCGCAUGGUCUUGUUAUUAAAGAAUUUCGGUUAUCGAUGGGGAUGCGUUCCAUUAGGCAGUUGGUGAGGUAACGGCUCACCAAACCUUCGAUGGAUAGGGGUUCUGAGAGGAAGGUCCCCCACAUUGGAACUGAGACACGGUCCAAACUCCUACGGGAGGCAGCAGUGAGGAAUAUUGGUCAAUGGGCGCAGGCCUGAACCAGCCAAGUAGCGUGAAGGAUGACUGCCCUAUGGGUUGUAAACUUCUUUUAUAUGGGAAUAAAGUUUUCCACGUGUGGAAUUUUGUAUGUACCAUAUGAAUAAGGAUCGGCUAACUCCGUGCCAGCAGCCGCGGUAAUACGGAGGAUCCGAGCGUUAUCCGGAUUUAUUGGGUUUAAAGGGAGCGUAGGUGGACAGUUAAGUCAGUUGUGAAAGUUUGCGGCUCAACCGUAAAAUUGCAGUUGAUACUGGCUGUCUUGAGUACAGUAGAGGUGGGCGGAAUUCGUGGUGUAGCGGUGAAAUGCUUAGAUAUCACGAAGAACUCCGAUUGCGAAGGCAGCUCACUGGACUGCAACUGACACUGAUGCUCGAAAGUGUGGGUAUCAAACAGGAUUAGAUACCCUGGUAGUCCACACAGUAAACGAUGAAUACUCGCUGUUUGCGAUAUACAGUAAGCGGCCAAGCGAAAGCAUUAAGUAUUCCACCUGGGGAGUACGCCGGCAACGGUGAAACUCAAAGGAAUUGACGGGGGCCCGCACAAGCGGAGGAGCAUGUGGUUUAAUUCGAUGAUACGCGAGGAACCUUACCCGGGCUUAAAUUGCAUUUGAAUAUAUUGGAAACAGUAUAGCCGUAAGGCAAAUGUGAAGGUGCUGCAUGGUUGUCGUCAGCUCGUGCCGUGAGGUGUCGGCUUAAGUGCCAUAACGAGCGCAACCCUUAUCUUUAGUUACUAACAGGUCAUGCUGAGGACUCUAGAGAGACUGCCGUCGUAAGAUGUGAGGAAGGUGGGGAUGACGUCAAAUCAGCACGGCCCUUACGUCCGGGGCUACACACGUGUUACAAUGGGGGGUACAGAAGGCAGCUACCUGGUGACAGGAUGCUAAUCCCAAAAGCCUCUCUCAGUUCGGAUCGAAGUCUGCAACCCGACUUCGUGAAGCUGGAUUCGCUAGUAAUCGCGCAUCAGCCAUGGCGCGGUGAAUACGUUCCCGGGCCU